UACAGAGGUCUCAAGCGUUGUUCGGAUUCAUUGGGCGUAAAGCGCACGUAGGCGGACUCUUAAGUCGGUGGUGAAAUCCUGGAGCUCAACUCCAGAACUGCCUUCGAUACUGAGAGUCUCGAGUCCGAGAGAGGUGAGUGGAACUGCGAGUGUAGAGGUGAAAUUCGUAGAUAUUCGCAAGAACACCAGUGGCGAAGGCGGCUCACUGGCUCGGUUCUGACGCUGAGGCGCGAAAGCGUGGGGAGCAAACAGG
rnacentral:rRNA from 1 species